rnacentral:rRNA from 1 species
CAGUCGCCACGGGAAUACGAAGGGGGCUAGCGUUGCUCGGAAUUACUGGGCGUAAAGGGCGCGUAGGCGGACAGUUAAGUUGGGGGUGAAAGCCCGGGGCUCAACCUCGGAAUUGCCUUCAAUACUGGCUGUCUUGAGUACGGGAGAGGUGAGUGGAACUCCGAGUGUAGAGGUGAAAUUCGUAGAUAUUCGGAAGAACACCAGUGGCGAAGGCGACUCACUGGCCCGUUACUGACGCUGAGGCGCGAAAGCGUGGGGAGCAAACAGGAUUAGAUACCCCUGUAGUCCCUGUCUCUUAUAC